AGCGAACGCUGGCGGCAGGCCUAACACAUGCAAGUCGAACGAAGCCUUCGGGCUUAGUGGCGGACGGGUGAGUAACACGUGGGAACGUACCUUUUGGUUCGGAAUAACGCAGAGAAAUUUGCGCUAAUACCGAAUGUGCCCUUAGGGGGAAAGAUUUAUCGCCAUUAGAGCGGCCCGCGUUGGAUUAGGUAGUUGGGGUGGUAAAGGCGCACCGAGCCUACGAUCCAUAGCUGGUCUGAGAGGAUGAUCAGCCACACUGGGACUGAGACACGGCCCAGACUCCUACGGGAGGCAGCAGUGGGGAAUCUUGCGCAAUGGGCGAAAGCCUGACGCAGCCAUGCCGCGUGAAUGAUGAAGGUCUUAGGAUUGUAAAAUUCUUUUACCAGGGACGAUAAUGACGGUACCUGGAGAAAAAGCCCCGGCUAACUUCGUGCCAGCCGCCGCAGUAACAC
rnacentral:rRNA from 1 species